rnacentral:lncRNA from 1 species
CCAUAUCUUUCUGCAGGAAAUACACACACAAAGGAAAUAGAUAUUAUUUUGACAAUAAAUUAAUAUCUUGCAUUUAAGUUUCUUUUCUGUGACUAAUCCUUUUGCAAUUAAGGCCAGAUAUAUAAAAGACAGCUUCUUUUUUCUGCACUGGGAAGGCACAUAGCAAGUUGAGUUAUCAGAAACUAAGGUUUUCUAGCAACAAAUACCUAAAGAUCUAAUUCCUAUCAUUCAGAAGGAGCACAAACUAAGGGAAAAGAUCAAGAAGGCAUCAGUGUGAGACAGUGGUUUCUAGGAAUAUAAUCUACUUUCAUCAUGCUCAAUCCCUGCAGUGAAAUGGCACACAGAUGACAGCACUCAAUUAAGUUCAGAAUUAAUGUAGCAUGAAAGCACAGUCUUACUGAGAAGGCCAAGUGAAAUUGAACAGGAGGAUUGCAGCCAGCAAAAGACUAUCCAGCAAUCAUCUGGAAAAUCUUCAAUCAGACCAAACUUGGCAGUUAUUACUUCUCUACAUACUGCUGCAGGGCUGUUUGGUAUCUGAUAUCAGCUCUGUCAUCUUCCUGAAGGCAUUUAUAGGACCUUUGAAUUUCAAGAGGUACCGGGAACCUCUCUUGCUGAAAUCAUGACACUCCUUUUUGUCCCCAGGGGUAAGAGGAAAACCAGUGAUACCAAAAGGCAAUAUAAUAUUUAAGAGCUCUAUUGAAAUUUUGCAGACAGGAGAUUGUUUAGCUUCACUAAAAUUUCAGAGGCAAGAUAAUUUGAAGUCUGGUGUGGUGAAUCAGAGACUGACAGGUUAAAAUAAUUGAAAAGGAGCUCGAGUUUUUUGUUAAUUGCCUGCUGCAGCAGAAGUCCUGUGCUGUGCCAUGCACUGAAUCUGUGAGCAGAGACCCAAUAUUUACUAUCAAUCAACAUUACAAGCAUUUAAUGAAAAGUUUCAUAAUGGAAAGGUUGAGUGAGCUGAGAUGGAUCAUUUCCAUUAACUAGCUCCUCUCCACAACCUACAACUCCAUUAUGAAGCAGCAGCCUCCAAGUCUUUUAAAGCUCAGUUUCCUCGUAUUAAAUACAGUUUCUGAAGCGUGUAAGAAAACUGACAAAAACCAAACUUUCUUGCAG